UUAUUCCCUAUUUUUUUGCAUAUCAAUAAGCGGAGGAAAAGAAACCAACAGGGAUUACCUCAGUAACGGCGAGUGAAGCGGUAACAGCUCAAAUUUGAAAUCUGGCAGCAAUGUCCGAGUUGUAAUUUGUAGAGGAUGUUUCGAGCAUGGUCUGGCCUAAGUUCCUUGGAACAGGACGUCAUAGAGGGUGAGAAUCCCGUAUGCGGUCAGGUGCCUACGCUCAUGUGAAACUCCUUCGACGAGUCGAGUUGUUUGGGAAUGCAGCUCAAAAUGGGUGGUAAAUUUCAUCUAAAGCUAAAUAUUGGCCAGAGACCGAUAGCGCACAAGUAGAGUGAUCGAAAGAUGAAAAGCACUUUGGAAAGAGAGUUAAACAGUACGUGAAAUUGUUGAAAGGGAAGCGCUUGCAACCAGACUUGCACGCAGUUAAUCAUCCGCUGUUCUCAGUGGUGCACUUGAUUGCGUUCAGGCCAGCAUCGGUUUUGGUGGUGGGAUAAAGGCCUUAGGAAUGUAGCUGCUUUCGGGCAGUGUUAUAGCCUAGGGUGCAAUGCCGCCUACUGGGACCGAGGACCGCGCUUCGGCUAGGAUGCUGGCGUAAUGGUUGUAAGCGACCCGUCUUGAAACACGGACCAAAAAUUAGGAUAGGCCGGGCCCC
rnacentral:rRNA from 1 species